rnacentral:rRNA from 1 species
GAUGAACGCUGACAGAAUGCUUAACACAUGCAAGUCAACUUGAACUUCGGUUUGGGUGGCGGACGGGUGAGUAACGCGUAAAGAACUUGCCUCACAGAUAGGGACAACAUUUGGAAACGAAUGCUAAUACCUGAUAUUAUGAUUUUAGGGCAUCCUAGGAUUAUGAAAGCUAUAUGCGCUGUGAGAGAGCUUUGCGUCCCAUUAGCUAGUUGGAGAGGUAACGGCUCACCAAGGCGAUGAUGGGUAGCCGGCCUGAGAGGGUGAUCGGCCACAAGGGGACUGAGACACGGCCCUUACUCCUACGGGAGGCAGCAGUGGGGAAUAUUGGACAAUGGACCAAGAGUCUGAUCCAGCAAUUCUGUGUGCACGAUGAAGUUUUUCGGAAUGUAAAGUGCUUUCAGUUGGGAAGAAAAAAAUGACGGUACCAACAGAAGAAGUGACGGCUAAAUACGUGCCAGCAGCCGCGGUAAUACGUAUGUCACAAGCGUUAUCCGGAUUUAUUGGGCGUAAAGCGCGUCUAGGUGGUUAUAUAAGUCUGAUGUGAAAAUGCAGGGCUCAACUCUGUAUUGCGUUGGAAACUGUGUAACUAGAGUACUGGAGAGGUAAGCGGAACUACAAGUGUAGAGGUGAAAUUCGUAGAUAUGUGUAGGAAUGCCGAUGGGGAAGCCAGCUUACUGGACAGAUACUGACGCUGAAGCGCGAAAGCGUGGGUAGCAAACAGG